GGAAAAAGAGAGGAAACAAAAAAAUGGGGAAAGAGAACGUGCAAAAGAAUUUUAAAAAUAGCUUCAUUUUUUCAAAAAUAAAAAUACAAUAAAAUAAAUAACAUAAAUAAAUAUAUAGUAAAAAAAUUAAAAACAAAACUCAAAUAAAAUUAAUUCCUAAAACACACAUGAAGAUUCGAACUCAAAACCCAGAGUUAAACUAACACACAUCCAAUCACCAAACCAGCAGGCUCAUUUUGACAUUAAAACGCGGAAAUCAACCCAAUUGCUCAACCUACUCACUGACCCUAAACACAAAUCUCAAAACUUCUAAGCCCCA
rnacentral:lncRNA from 1 species